rnacentral:rRNA from 1 species
AGUGGGGAAUUUUGGACAAUGGGCGCAAGCCUGAUCCAGCAAUGCCGCGUGCAGGAAGAAGGCCUUCGGGUUGUAAACUGCUUUUGUCAGGGAAGAAAUCUUCUGGGCUAAUACCCCGGGAGGAUGGCGGUACCUGAAGAAUAAGCACCGGCUAACUACGUGCCAGCAGCCGCGGUAAUACGUAGGGUGCGAGCGUUAAUCGGAAUUACUGGGCGUAAAGCGUGCGCAGGCGGUUAUGUAAGACAGAUGUGAAAUCCCCGGGCUCAACCUGGGAACUGCAUUUGUGACUGCAUGACUGGAGUGCGGCAGAGGGGGAUGGAAUUCCGCGUGUAGCAGUGAAAUGCGUAGAUAUGCGGAGGAACACCGAUGGCGAAGGCAAUCCCCUGGGCCUGCACUGACGCUCAUGCACGAAAGCGUGGGGAGCAAACAGGAUUAGAUACCCUGGUAGUCCACGCCCUAAACGAUGUCAACUGGUUGUUGGACGGCUUGCUGUUCAGUAACGAAGCUAACGCGUGAAGUUGACCGCCUGGGGAGUACGGCCGCAAGGUUG